AGAGUUUGAUCCUGGCUCAGGACGAACGCUGGCGGCGUGCCUAAUACAUGCAAGUCGAGCGGAUCUUGUUCAGAAGCUUGCUUCUGAACUUGGUUAGCGGCGGACGGGUGAGUAACACGUAGGCAACCUGCCCUCAAGACCGGGAUAACAUUCGGAAACGAAUGCUAAGACCGGAUACGCAAGCCUGUCGCAUGACGGGC
rnacentral:rRNA from 1 species